rnacentral:ncRNA from 1 species
GCACGCCUGUCGGGACCCGAAAGAUGGUGAACUAUGCCUGAGCGGGGCGAAGCCAGAGGAAACUCUGGUGGAGGCUCGAACGCAUACUGACGUGCAAAUCGUUCGUCUGACUUGGGUAUAGGGGCGAAAGACUAAUCGAACCAUCUAGUAGCUGGUUCCCUCCGAAGUUUCCCUCAGGAUAGCUGGAGCCCAUUACGAGUUCUAUCAGG